rnacentral:lncRNA from 1 species
UUGAGAAUCAGUUCACAGCUCUAUCCACAGAGAACCGACAGCAGGAUGUCUGCAACAAACUGCUCAGAGCUGGAUCUGGAGCUGGGAGACUUGCUGCAGGAGUUUAAUGAUGUUGUGAAGGAGCUGAGCACACCCCAGGCCUCUGAACAUGUGCCGAGAGACGUGAAGAGACACACAGCACUGACUGAUGGAGACGAUUCAGACUACUCCAGGCUCGGGGAUACCAGUGACCUACAGAGCUUCAUCGAAAACCUGGAUAGAGAGCUUGCAGAGAUGUGAGAUGACGGGACACACGUGAUCAGAGAGGACUGAGCACCUGAAGAGCUGGCAUUUAGCUUCCACGCAUAGAAAAACACAGCUUGAAGGCCUCAUUUCCCCCCCUUCACUAAGAAAAAAAGCUCACGGUUUGGAAGAAUUACCAAGUUUCUCAGAAGAUGUUUUAUAUGAAAUUUAUAUGAAAAGCACAAUUCCUUGUAAGUUAUGAAGAUUUAUUGUUAAUAGCUAUUUUUCACUUUUUUUUAUGAAGAAUGUAAAAAUAUCAGUGCUACCAGGUU